rnacentral:rRNA from 1 species
GGAAUAUUGGACAAUGGGCGCAAGCCUGAUCCAGCCAUGCCGCGUGUGUGAAGAAGGCCUUCGGGUUGUAAAGCACUUUCAGCGAGGAGGCAGGGAUGUAUGUUAAUAGCAUGCAUUUUUGACGUUACUCGCAGAAGAAGCACCGGCCAACUCUGUGCCAACAGCAGCGGUAAUACAGAGGGUGCAAGCGUUAAUCGGCAUUACUGGGAGUAAAGCGCACGUAGGCGGUUAGUUAAGUUGGAUGUGAAAGCCCCGGGCUCAACCUGGGAAUUGCAUUCAAAACUGGCUAACUAGAGUAUGUGAGAGGGGGGUAGAAUUCCAAGUGUAGCGGUGAAAUGCGUAGAGAUUUGGAGGAAUACCAGUGGCGAAGGCGGCCCCCUGGCACAAUACUGACGCUGAGGUGCGAAAGCGUGGGGAGCAAAC